GCAUGCGUGUGGAGACAGGACCUCCCACCCCCAUGCCCAAAUAAAUAAAAAUGUUACAGAGAAGAUUAGCAGGGCCCCUGCACAAAAAUGACACACAAAUUCUUAAGGCAUUCCUCU
ensembl:snRNA Gm22540 predicted gene, 22540